ensembl:lncRNA
GAAUAGCAACAUUUUGCUAAAAUAGUUUUAGACAAGUUAAUAACUCCUGCAAGAAGACCAAAGCAUGGACCCAGGUCCAUUCAUCUUUAGGCGUUUCUAAGAGUCUCUGUCCAAGGUAUUGCCUGUGAGCAGAGAUGCUUAUUUAAAAUGUUGAGAUCAAAAGGGACCGUCCCUUGUAAGGUGACUAACACACACACAAUUCCCAACCAGGUGAAGGGAGAGACCCAGGGGAAAUUUAUAGAGGGCAAAUAAACUCUGGCCCCCCGCACACCCGACACACAGACAAGCACAAAGCUCUGCCAUGUGCAGACACGACACGCUGUCAAGCUCUUCUGCAACCAAGGAAGUCGCUUUUUCCGUAUUCUCAGAAUUCAAUGUAGACUACAGCAGGAGGAAGGAUGUGGAGCAAUAGACAGUUUGCGUGAGACGUCAAGUGAGGAGUUCAGUGGAAAUCGGUAUGGUAUAGCGUUCUGAGCCAACAAAUGUCUUUGUUAGAGCUUGAACAUACAUACAGCAUUCAGAAGCUCAGAGAUGUGCAGCGCUGCAGGAACAAGACGUCGCAACACUGGAUGGCACACUGAGAUGAAACACCAUCAGUUUCACUUUUUCGGAACAGCUCUGUCAAAAAGAGAGAAAGAAAAAAAGAGAAAAAACCCAGAGAACAGCCACAGAAGAAUAUGUGAGACUUCAAUAGCUGUUAAUUAUUUAAAACUACAUUCAUUGCAUGAUUAUAGGAUGUUCUGUCGACUACACUGCUACUAUUACUUUUUUUUUGUAUCUAAUGGAGAAAUGUAUAUGUGCUGGAUAUGAUCGAAGAUUGCACUGAUGUCAUUUGCUCACUCAGUACUCAGUGUAGGGUCUGUCUUAUAUCAAAAUGCAGCUACAUCUGAUUACUGGGUCAGUAAAGAUUCCACACGCUUCAAUCCAAAGUUCUUCAAGAAAACUAGAAAUUAUAUUUUGAAUCUAUGAGUUUCUAUUUCUUUCUUUCUUUCGUUCUUUUUUUUUUUUUUUUUUUUUUUUUUUUUUUUUUUUUUUUUAAACGCAUUUCAUAAGCACUGGAAGAUGAAUGGGGUGGCCAGGACUGCUUUUGUAAAAUUAUUAUGCUUUAUAAUCCACGAUGUAAUACACAGUUCAUGUAACAAAAUAAAAUUUUGUCAAAAACAAGUCUUAUACUGUCA